GUGAUGUGUUUAAUACACUAGGUGUAUUAUUACCUACUGUGAGAUGUUAGAGCAACACUGAUUGCUUUGCUCUCCCCUGGUCUAAUUGCAGCACCUCAAGCCAGAAACCACAGGUUCACAGUUCAUGCUCUAAUGUGCAAGACAGGGACUGGUAAAUGGUCUGUUGUGCUCUGAAUGUGUUGUCCUUUCUGGUUUUGUAUGUGAGGUUGCUGUGGAGGCGAGCUGCCUAGGAUCUUUGCUGAGAAAAGCAUAAUUUACCUUGAACUCUCUCAGUACUGUGUGGUACUCUGACAGAGAGGGCUGCUAAUGAUGCAAAACCCUGCCCACAGCCUUGAUCUUUACAAGCUGGCUGCAUGCACACACAUGUGAAAUGCUGCUUCAGCUGGUUUUUUAAUGAGGGGAGGGAACCCAAGAAUGAAGAGGGCUCACUUGCACACCCCUCUGCCAACCUACUGCUUCAUGAGACCUGAAGGCUAUUGUGGAGCAUUGGAGUUGGACACAAAACCACUUGGAGCCCAUCCCUCAUUCCCAGACAGAUCCUGCAGGAAACCAAUCCCUGAGACCACAAGAUGAAGCCCAGAGGCAGCUCACCAUGACCUUGCUGUCAGUGGUAUCUUUGAGAACAACUCUAAAAGGUAAAAGCUCUCAUGGUAUCUCAGUGCUGAAGUGGCAGGCAAACAUGGAGUGGUUGCUGCACCACCUCAGAGCCUGAACUCGCUAGUGCAGGAAAUGACUUUGCAGUGCCUGCCCUGCGCCACCACGGCUUCAACAAAAGGCCUGUGCAAUGUCGGCAGAGGAUGUAACUGGGGGAAAUGUGCACUGAGAAAUGUUCUUAUAUACAGUAGAGAGGAAAGGAAUAGAGAAGUAAGAAAAAGAUUGCGCUGUGGUUUUCAGGCUGCCAUUGCCCAAUUGCCUUUGCACCGUGAGGUCCUCCUGCCACGUGCCCUGUGCCUUCAUCAGGGGUGUGGAAGACAAGUAAUGCUGAUGCUUUACAGGAAUAACCUCUGAGCCACACUACAGCAGCUUCAUCUUCAAGAAGCAAAGUAAGAAAAAGGAUAAAUAAGUCCAGUACAGCACAGUUUCCUGCACUGCUAAGAUCUGUGAGUGAUCCAGCACAUGGGCUUGGGCACUACCAUGGGUCUGGCCCAUCGUAGCAGGAGAGAUCCACCUAGACCAGGUCAGCCAGAGAGCCAUUGUGAAGGGAAAGCAAACUUUAAAAGUAAAUGGGAUGAGUCAUGUUGCCUGUUGGCAUAAAUGCAAAACAUUUAGGAGCAGGAAGUGUCUUUGUUUUUGUGCACGGGAAUGUGCUUCAGGUCAGGUUAUCGCUGAGGUGCAUUUCUGGCCAGCAAAAUAAGGGCUUGCUCCAGCAGCAAGACCAUCCUGCCUGCCAAGGAGAAGCAAUUUCAUGCAGUUCAAUGUCAGGUACCCGAGUCUUUGCUUUUUGUAUUUAACACUGUAUUUAACAACAUUGAAUUUGAAACCAGAAUCCUGCCACCUACUGCUCAUGGAAAUUCCAGAUGUGUUGUGUGCACAGCGGUCUCAACCCUAAAAACCUUAAAAACCUCAAAAACCUCAUCAAAGCUCUCUGGGACUGGUCAGCUCUGCACAGGCUGGAAAAAAUAUCUGUGAGCCAUCUCAAUUGCCCUAUUGGGACCUUGAGCUGAUGUAAGGAUGUCUGUGGCAGUGCUGGCUUUCUUGGAGAACAAAGUGCUGUUUCCUUUUGUGUGCUGAACAAACAAACAGUGUGUGGGAAUUGGUCCCUACAGAAAUACUUUCUUUUUUUUUUUUAAAUAUCCAAGUCACUUUUUUUCAGAACACUGACCUGUUUAUUGCUGGGGAAUGCCUGUGACUGCCUUCUGAAACUCAAAAACUGCAGAGGUGUCCAUGGCAAGAAUAGAAGACUAUUGCAAUAAUACUAGGGAUGGUUCUGCAGUUCAAAUUAAGCACAGAAGUGUCUGAAAACUGUCAGUCUGCCUAGUGCCAGAAUUCAUUAUGAAUUUGGUUUUUAAUAUAGUUUAGGCUAGAAAUCAUCCUAAUUAUCUUUUUUCCUUUAAUUAAAUAAGAAGUCUGUCAUUAGCCUCUGCUUCCCAUAACUCAUGUUUUGGAUUGAGAUUCUCAUGCCUGGGAAAUGGGAGAACUGGAGAGAAACUGGGGAGAGAGACAAAGAGAAGACUCUGAAGGCAGGCUGUCACGCAGGAACCAGGAGAAGGUAUAUUCUGUCCCUCCCAUCCUGUGGGGAUCCCAGAUGGCUGCUGUGUCAGCUGAAGUCACUCUCUGCUCUGUAACCUCUUCCUGAAGACUAGAGGAUACAGGUUCAACAGCCGGAAGCCUUCUGGGAAACUGCUUGAGAAUCAGCAGGUACCCAGGAGGUGCAAGCGGCUUUUCUUUGUAUUUAAAGUAAUACAUUUAAAGUGUGAAGUUUUCUAUCUUCCUCUAAAUUAAAGCCACUUUCUGUUUAAACAUUUACAACUCUUUCAAGCACAUACCUCUGCCACAUACAAAUGCAUUUGUCCUAGAAAUCCUUGGAAAUACUGUAGUCUGUGUUUUCCAUAAGCCUUCAGAAAAUCAACUGUUCCAAGGGCUUAACGCUGGAGUAAUUUAACAGCCGUGCUGCAAAAGUGGCAAGGUAAGCAGCCCAGCAGAAGAUACAGUAGCCAAAACUCUUAUCUCAGGACCCAUUGCUCGGAGAAUUGCAUCAACUUCCCCUGGUAAAUAAUGAGUCUUAUUUAUAAAUUCACAUACAAUACAGAAAGGAAGCUUGUUGCACUAUUGUGGAGAUCAAAGAUUCAACGUGGGUUUUUUCCUCCUUCUCCUGUUUGGAGAACUAAAGUCAGUUUGUAUGUAUCUGUGUCCUUCUUAUUGCUGAGCCCAGCACAGUUGAUAGCCUUGGGUAUUUUUUUAAAGCUGUUUCUAAAGAUAAACAUUUUGCAAAAAUUCCCAGAAUGCAAGUGCUCAACUUAAUUUGCCCAGAGCUGUACUCUUUGUUGGCAGGCUGUUCCUUUACAGGGGGUUUUAAGUUCCAAUUCGAAGUAUCACAUAUUAAUACACAAUGAGAAACUUUUUCUGUGGUCGAGGGUGAAAUCCCUGCCUUACUGAGGUCCAAAGAAACAAAACUUUUAUUGAUUUAGUUCAAUAAUAUUCAGAGGCUAAUCCCAAAUCUCUCGCUCCUUUAUUAAGAACGAUUCUAUCACUGAAAAAAUAUGAACAAAUUUAUAUAGCCUAAUCAAAACAAUCCCCAAAGUGCCUGAGCACACUAACAACAGCUUUUAAACUUGGAUUGUCAUCAGUUUUUCGGUGUCAGUUUGAGAGGCAGAGAUGUUUUUUGUUAGCAUGCAGAACUCAGUCUGCCUUCUCUUUCAGGUUAUACUUUUUGAUGUGACAGACAACACACAGGUUCAUCACCACCUUCUUGGCUGCAGCAGGUAAUUUGCUCAGCUCCAUGUAUCAUGGUGACAGCUGCCAGACAAGAAUUUUCUUCCUCUCAUGCAAACAGUAGAUGUAUUUUCACUGGACAGGCUAGGAUGUUUUGAUCAAAUACAAUACUAGAGAGAAAGAGAAAGAGAAAGCAUAUGGGGUGUGCAUAUAUAUACACAAAAGUCUAUGUAGUAUAUACACAUACACACCCAUUUAUAUAUACACACACAUCUAUGCAUAAAGGGGUUGCUUAACAGCCUAUAAAAAACGCCACCUUACUAUGAGUCUUACGGGUGUUUUCUUCCACAGAAGCAAAGAGCUAAUCAGGAGAGGAAACAGGAGCUGAAUUACCCCACCCACCUCCAUAGACCCUGCUAAAGCCAUUUAUCACAAUGUUUCUCAACCUUCUUGAGUUGGCAGCUUUUUAGGACUUGUUUUUGCAACCUUUCACGAAACCCAUUAAAAACGGUAUAAUAACAAAGUAACAAUAAUACUAGUCUUAAGCACAGGUGUGGUAGGGACACAUGGGAGUUCCCCAGGCAGCCAUGGGCUGUCAGAUCUGGCUGCCGGACAGAAAAAGAUUAACUUUGACCAGAAAUGUUCUAAGUGUUCCAGAGCAAAACAAAUUUAGGGGAGUUCAUGGCCAGCACUGUGCAGUGUGUUAAGGUUGUAUUUCGUGAAUAUUGAUUUUGUCAAUUUAAAGUGAGUUACAUUCGAUGAAAGAUAGGUACUGGCAUCAGAAUUGUCAUCUUUUAAUAUUUAUAUCUAAAAAAAUGAAAAUCUCCAUCUUAUUACAUCAGAAGAAAUAAGAGAUGGACAGAAACAGUGUGAAAAUGACUGUAAGAAUUUUUUUUGCCUAGUCAAUGGAAGUUUAGUUCAUUUUUUGGUCUCUAAAUGCCAUUGGAACAAGAACACUUCUGAGAUAAUUUUAUUCGUCAGCCACAAACAUUUUCAGGUAAAAUCAAAAAUAGGAGGACAAAAAAUGCAGGAUAGAUAUUGAAUAUGCAAAUAUUAUUAAGCAACCAUGCAAAAUAAAGGUAAAAGGAUUUAGAGUAAAAUUUAAUGUUUGAAGAAGUAUCUGUAGAUCAUUAACUAAAAAAAGAGGCUAGCUAUAACCUGAAUUUAAUUCCAUAGACUUGACUUAUCUGAGGACUACUGUGAUACCUGUUUUCAUAUGGUGUUGAGAAAGCACACAGUUAUGUGUGUCCAGAUGAAUUAGCUUAAAUAUCAGGACUCAUAAUAAUGCCAGCAAUUCGUAAUAUCACAGGCACCAACUGUUAAUAACCAACUGGUUAAUAACAAUGCAGGGGACUCCAAUGGUCACCAAUUCUGAACUGUAAGUCUUGGGAUAUUAACUAGAGUUAAUAUACCAGUGGGAUUUUUUAAAAAUAUAUUUUAUUAAAUUAAAGGUAUUUUAAUAUCCUGAAAUACUAAAUUCAGUGCCUCCAGAGGCAGAAAUUCAGAACCUCCAGAGGGGUUCAUUGUUUGGAGAGAGUUCCUCUGUAAAGUCAACCUGUUCUGCCAAGGCCAGACAGUACAACUGAACUCCCCGGGACUACUUAAGUAACACCAACAAGCAAGCACAAACUGUAGGACUACCCCUGGCUGUCACUUAGAGCUACUUGAGACAUCAUUCUUAUAGAAAGCCCCAGAUUCCCCUUGGAUAUACUCAGAUUUUACAGAGUGCAGACAAUAUUAUUCAUAUUGAAAUUUUACUUCAUCAGAUACUUAUAUUUUCCCUUAAGCUUAAGCAAUUUUUACUGCUAAGUGUGCGUCCUGAGGAGACUUCAGAACCAUAACUUACACCUGAUGAAAUUUUUCCUGGCCCUUGCUGGAGAAGAGUGAAAUGAUCCCAUUUUUGGUUAUCGUGUUGUUUUCCACCAUUCUCCUGAGUCUUGUCAUAGCUAACACUCACUUCCCAUCGCCUUUUGAAUGGCUUCCUCCCAAACCCCUGCCCCGUUCUCUGCCUUCAGCUAAAGAGCAUGUUGGAGACAGGAAUCAGAGAAGGAAAGGUGUUUUUCUCCUCUGGAAGAGUCACUGUCUCUGAAAGUGUCUCUGGAUGUGGCACUUGGGGAUACAGUUUAGGGGGAUUAUUGUGGAGCUGGGGUGAUAGUUGGACUAGAUGAUCUUGAAGGUCUUGUCCAACCCUGAUGAUUCUGUUAUUCUCAUUAAAAUGAAAGCCUAGAGAAUUAUUUUCUCAGUUUUAUGUUGUGAGAUAAAGAUGUUUUAUGUAGAUAUAGGCAAAUUUCAAACACUGGAAACCUAACUUGCAGCAGUGCACAGGUAAUAUCAUUUUGAUGGUCAUGGUCCUGACUGGAUUUCCUAUUUGUCCCAUUUAUUAGUUGUCCUGUGGUGGUCCCAUAAAUAUUUCUGAAAUAACCUCUCAAGUGUAUACCAAUUAUCACUGGCAGAAUUGCAAUAAACAGUUCUUAAUGGCCCAGUAGGUUUCUAAUCCAGGUUCAGUAAGCAAUUUCAAACCAAAACCAUUUCUCUGAAAGCAAGUUUAUUCUCUAAAUGAGACUUCAACUGAAAACCUUCAUGUUUAAGCAUAUUAACUGUAGGAUUCUUCUGCCAACAAAAUGAAGCAGGCUCACUCCAAGGAAUAGUUACUGUUAUUUAGAAAACUACUGAAAACAGUUUUUAACAUAAUGGUUGUAAACUGUGCAAUAGUAAUAUAGCAAAAAUAUUAGCUGGAACGAAAAUAUACAUUAUCUGAAGUCAGAAAUUAAGCUUCACUUGCAUUCUUUUGCAUAGUAAAUUAUCAAGUGUCUCUUAGAUAAAGCUGAUUGCCUUAACUAAAGAACAAAUUUAUUCUGGCUGCAUUUAUUAAAAUCUAUAUUUACACGUGAUUCCUGUUUGACUGAGUAACUUUUAAUCUCAUUUAAAUGUCUCUUACUGCAUCACAUAGUGAAAAAUACAAUGAAUGUAUGAGAAAAUAUAACUGGACCUCUUUGGUAUAAAAAUAGGAGAGAUACAAAAUAAAUUUUUUUAAAAUUUCCUUGUGAAAAUGAAAAAUGUCAAGGCCAAAAUAGACAGAAUAAAUAGUAAUAUAUAUAUAUUUUUAAAUAAUUCACACACGAAUGCCCA